GAUGAACGCUGACAGAAUGCUUAACACAUGCAAGUCUACUUGAAACACUUUCGGGUGUGGAUGGUGGCGGACGGGUGAGUAACGCGUAAAUAACUUGCCCUCUAGUCUGGGACAACUGUUGGAAACGACAGCUAAUACUAGAUAUUAUGAGACCUUGGCAUCAAGGACUAUGAAAGCUAUAUGCGCUAGGGGAGAGAUUUGCGUCCUAUUAGCUAGUUGGUGAGGUAAUGGCUCACCAAGGCGACGAUAGGUAGCCGGCCUGAGAGGGUGAACGGCCACAAGGGAACUGAGACACGGCCCUUACUCCUACGGGAGGCAGCAGUGGGGAAUAUUGGACAAUGGACCAAAAGUCUGAUCCAGCAAUUCUGUGUGCUUGAUGAAGGCCUUCGGGUUGUAAAGAGCUUUAAGUAGGGAAGAAGAAAGUGACGGUACCUACAGAAUAAGCGACGGCUAAAUACGUGCCAGCAGCCGCAGUAAUAC
rnacentral:rRNA from 1 species